rnacentral:rRNA from 1 species
GUGGAUUUGAUACCCUGGUAGUCUUGGCUGUAAACGGUGCGCAUUUGCUGUAAACGGAAUCGACCCCGUUUGUGGCGAAGCUAACGCGAUAAAUGCGCCGCCUGGGAAGUACGGUCGCAAGAUUAAAACUCAAAGAAAUUGACGGGGGCCUGCACAAGCGGUGGAGUAUGUGGCUUAAUUCGAUGCAACGCGAAGAACCUUACCUGGCCUUGACAUGCAAGUGGUAGAACCAUGAAAGUGGGACGAUCCCGCAAGGGAAGCUUGCACAGGUGCUGCAUGGCCGUCGCCAACU